AAAUCCUAAACAACCUUCCCUUCCCGAACCCGACUCUCUCCACCUAAGAUCCUCACUCGCUCGACAUUCUUCUCCUCUCACUGACCAUCUCUCCUUUCUCCAUCAAAUCCCUCAUUUUUCCAUAGAACCAAUUCCUCUUUUGGUGCGAGAUAGGUUGAAGACUAUGCAUCGAAUCGCUUGUUCCGCCUCAUCGUGAAACCCUACUUCAAGUCUGCCCGCUUCAAACAUUCUCAGCUUUUAGUGCAUGCUAAGAGAUGGACCGAUACUAGAAAGUGGAGAAGCCAUGCGAUUAGCGAGAAUGAGAUUCGCAUCACCUCGCAUGGAUUCAUCCAUAACUAUGUCAACUAUGCCUCCAGUCUCCUUCAGGUGUCCUCCUCCUCCUCCUCCUAUUCUUCUUCUUCUUUUUCUUCAUAGCUGACAACCUACUUCGCCUCUUCAAUUAUGAGGAUUCCUCCAUCUGCCAUAUUGGACAUGAGCAGAUUGCUCUUGUGGCUAUGAUGCCAACCUUACCAACUUCGGUUGCUGCUACCCUCUAUCGGACAGGAGUGUGUGGAAGGUCGGGAGUGACUUUUCGAUAUUCUAUGAGUUUGGGUAUUAGGGGUUCUCCAGCUUGUAGUGGUGAUGUCCAUUUCCGGUAAUGAAAUGACUACCGUUCAGAUUGGGAUCUAAGUCGAGUGGGCAGUGCCAAAGGGGCACGCCAAUGGGACUGAGUGCGUGGCUAGUGCAGUGGUGUUGAACGCCACUGCAUUUUGUGGUGGUUUUAUGUGCGUUUGCACACCGGGAUUCAUUGGAGAUCGUUUUGCUGGGGCAACAGAUGUCUUAAAUCUUGUAGCAUUGAUCCUCACGAUGAGAAUGACGUAGGGUGUUGCAAGGGGAGGUUUUGCAGAAAAAGAAUGGUUAUUCUUGCUGGUAUGUGCCCAUUAUCUAUCUUGUUUCUAUUGUAUAUUUUUACAUCUCCUGAUCUUAUUGGUACCUCAGAAUGAAUAUACUAAAAUUACAAGUGCCCUUGCAUACCUACAAUAUGAAAUAUCAAUAUCAAGGUAUAUCGAAGAUCUCAAGACCAGUGACAUACUUUAGACACUUAUUAUUCUACAAAAGUUAAUGGUUUCAAGUUCCUCAAAUCUGGACUUGUCAAUGGAUCCUACUCAUACAUGGUCUCUCAUGAUACUUAUGCCAUCUAUAGCCUUGGUCUUAUAUUACUUGAACUAAUCAUGGGCUCCAAACCUAGAAAUCUUUCAGAUACAAUCUUGUCUAAGAUUGAAAGUAACAAGUUUCAUGAGAUUGUGGAUCCAACAUAUGCAGACAACAUGUGCAGCAAUAGCAGAUAGAGCCUAAACUAGAGGAAAAGAGUUUCAAGGUGAUUGUGUUGAAGGCAAUCGGACUAGCAAUCAGCAAAGUUGUAGAUGCUAUUGGAAUGAUCAAGGUCAAAGUUUUACUUGUUUGUCAUUUUUUGUUGACAGCUUUAUCUAUUUAGCUUUUCUUGACCUGUAUUCUAGCACAGAAAUGGAAUCCGCACAUUUUCAUCAAGAUGUCUCAAUAAGUUUCGUCAGUGUCACUAAUGUUUGGGAGCCUAUUGAGAUGGUUCCUAGCAACUAUAAUUCAUUGUCGCUCAACCAUUUUGGUGCAUUUCUUUACUUCUUUUUUAUCAGAAUUUGGUGUACUCUUUAUUUGUGUGCAGAGAUGCUCAUUUAUAGAUGUGCAGUGUUUUACUAUGGUUGCUCAUUUUGAGGUA